GCCGCGGUGGUCUAGCGGUUAGAACGCUGGCCUUGUAAUCCUGGGGUCUCGGGUUCGAUUCCCGGCGGGGCA
rnacentral:tRNA from 1 species